AGACAGGAAGCAAUGCAUGUAAAUCUGACAGCACGAGUGAGGACUGAGGAGUUUGGCAUAAGAGAAUUGAUAUGCGCUCUUGCAUAUGCCUAUGAUAAAAAUUGACGUCGCACAUGGACAAAAAUCCAAAGGUGCACACGGAGGAAACACGAACCACAAACGGAGCGAACAAACGAGGCCGGGACGGACCUUAUGUUUGGUGCAAGGUGCUUGCCUGCAUCAUCAUCAUCAGGGAUACAAAGUAUCAAGUCAGAAAUGGAAGAACCAUGGAUUUUGUUAUAUGCCACCAAGGAAGCGUCUACAGAAGGAAGACAACAGCUGGCAGCUUUGCCAAGCUCGCAGAAGUCAAUGUUAGGAUUAUGCAUGCUAGGGUGCUGAAACUUGAGAGGGGGCUCGCAGAAGAACGGAUAGGCGGAAGCUUCGAUGCCUUACAGAAUCCAGCUAGCUAAGGUAAUGCUACUAUGACAUGACUUAGUUUUACUUCUGAAACGGACAUGCCUUAGUUUUACUUUUGAAACAAAUAAGGCUGAAGCUUGGAUGCUUGGUUCGAACUGAUCGCCAGUGACGAGAUUAUUACUCCAUAUAGUUUCAGUACUAUCUACUGCGCUACGGUCCUUAAAUCUGUGAAAUCAUGAUGGUGUCUAGUUUCCCACAGCUGUUAGUGCUGCUGAAUUGUUCAGUAUUUACAGACCAGGGCAAAGUUUUUUGAAGCCACACAAUUAUUUUAGAUGCCAAGUACAUUUUUUUUGAUUCCAUGUGGCUUUGGAAUCUUGUUUUGGUAUUCAUGUCAUGUUGUCUCUGAAAACCGUUUUGAGCAGUCGGUGCUGUACCGUUCUUAUUGGUCACCUUAAAAUGUGAAUUACUGCCCAUUCUAUGGAAAAUAAAUGUAAAAUCAUUUUGUAGUACUUCAUCGACGGUCCCAUUAACAUUAUUGCUUGUGAGCCUUGUGUGGUUUUUAAGUUCCACUCUGCUUCAUGAAGUCACAAACCGUGUAACGUUAGAGCUAAGUUUUCCAGGUACCGUUUUCUUCCCAUUCUCGCACUAGCAAAGUAACGAGGAGACAAUGGAGAAAGUUGCUACAGUUCAUCCGCCAUUAAAGAUCGGGGAAACAAACUUGCAGAUCGAUCGGCCGGAUUUGGAAAUCCAUGUGGAUGCAUAUGGGCACCGGAGAGCUUCCUCCACUGGAGCUCAUGUGAUGAUAAUUUUUUUUUUGAGGGGGGUGAGAAUAUUUUCUGGGAGUAAGAGGGUUUGCAGGUGUUUGGGUAUUCCCGAUUGGGCCGUGGUCCGUGGACUGACCGGCCCAUGAAACAACAGUACGCGUUAAACUGGAUUUUUUUUUGUACCACAUCGCUAGGCUAGCACGGGACUUCGUGGUUUAAAAGCGGGGAUUCAGACAAGCUUCCUUGCCCCCACAGUAGGUGGGGGUACGGGCAUCGAGCCCGUUCUCUGUACAGGUACACCGGUGUACAACGUAUGUUUGUGUACAAAAUUGUAGUGUGAUGUAUGUAUACUGUACAAGCACCCAUGUAAAUUAAAAGAUGUAUAUGUAAAUUAUUUUUGAAA